UCCUGGUUAACCCAGGCAGUCUCAUUAGAGUUCCCAGCUUCACCUGUUGGCAACUAAUGAUAAGGGUUGCGCUCGUUGCGGGACUUAACCCAACACCUCACGGCACGAGCUGACGACAGCCAUGCAGCACCUGUGCAAAAGCCCCUAAGGGAGACGCUAUCUCUAGCGUUGUCUUCUGCAUGUCAAGCCUGGGUAAGGUUCUUCGCGUUGCAUCGAAUUAAACCACAUGCUCCACUGCUUGUGCGGGUCCCCGUCAAUUCUUUUGAGUUUCAGCCUUGCGACUGUACUUCCCAGGCGGUAUACUUAUCGCGUUAGCUACGGCACAGCCAGGGUUGAGUCCGGCUACACCAAGUAUACAUCGUUUACAGUAAGGACUAC
rnacentral:misc_RNA from 1 species